UACGUAGGUGGCAAGCGUUAUCCGGAUUUAUUGGGCGUAAAGGGAACGCAGGCGGUCUUUUAAGUCUGAUGUGAAAGCCCUCGGCUUAACCGGAGUAGUGCAUUGGAAACUGGGAGACUUGAGUGCAGAAGAGGAGAGUGGAACUCCAUGUGUAGCGGUGAAAUGCGUAGAUAUAUGGAAGAACACCAGUGGCGAAAGCGGCUCUCUGGUCUGUAACUGACGCUGAGGUUCGAAAGCGUGGGUAGCAAACAGG
rnacentral:rRNA from 1 species